rnacentral:rRNA from 1 species
CCUACGGGAGGCAGCAGUGAGGAAUAUUGGUCAAUGGACGAGAGUCUGAACCAGCCAAGUAGCGUGAAGGAUGACUGCCCUAUGGGUUGUAAACUUCUUUUAUCUGGGAAUAAAACGUUCCACGUGUGGGAUUUUGUAUGUACCAUAUGAAUAGGGAUCGGGUAACUCCGUGCCAGGAGCCGCGGUAAUCCGGAGGAUCCGAGAGUUAUCCGGAUUUAUUGGGUUUAAAGGUAGCGUAGGGGGAUUUUUAAGUUAGUCGGGCAAGUUUGCGGCCCAACCGCAAAAUUGCAGUUGAAACUGGGAGUCUUGAGUACAGUAGAGGUAGGCGGAAUGCGUGGUGUAGCGGUGAAAUGCAUAGAUAUCACGCAGAACCCCGAUUGCGAAGGCAGUUCACUGGACUACAACUGACACUGAGGCUCGAAAGCGUGGGUAUCAAACAGGAUUAGAUACCCCAGUAGUC